GAUGAACGCUGGCGGCGUGCCUAAUACAUGCAAGUCGAGCGAACAGAUAAGGAGCUUGCUCCUUUGACGUUAGCGGCGGACGGGUGAGUAACACGUGGGUAACUUACCUAUAAGACUGGAAUAACUCCGGGAAACCGGGGCUAAUGCCGGAUAACAUGUUGAACCGCAUGGUUCUACAGUGAAAGGCGGCUUUGCUGUCACUUAUAGAUGGACCCGCGCCGUAUUAGCUAGUUGGUGAGGUAACGGCUCACCAAGGCAACGAUACGUAGCCGACCUGAGAGGGUGAUCGGCCACCCUGGAACUGAGACACGGUCCAGGCUCCUACGGGAGGCAGCAGUAGGGAAUCUUCCGCAAUGGGCGAGAGCCUGACGGAGCAACGCCGCGUGAGUGAUGACGGUCUUCGGAUCGUAAAGCUCUGUUAUUAGGGAAGAACAAAUGCGUAAGUAACUGUGCGCGUCUUGACGGUACCUAAUCAGAAAGCCACGGCUAACUACGUG
rnacentral:rRNA from 1 species